AGUGAACGCUGGCGGUAGGCCUAACACAUGCAAGUCGAACGGCAGCACAGUAAGAGCUUGCUCUUACGGGUGGCGAGUGGCGGACGGGUGAGGAAUACAUCGGAAUCUACUUUUUCGUGGGGGAUAACGUAGGGAAACUUACGCUAAUACCGCAUACGACCUACGGGUGAAAGCAGGGGAUCUUCGGACCUUGCGCGAUUGAAUGAGCUGAUGUCGGAUUAGCUAGUUGGCGGGGUAAAGGCCCACCAAGGCGACGAUCCGUAGCUGGUCUGAGAGGAUGAUCGGCCACACUGGAACUGAGACACGGUCCAGACUCCUACGGGAGGCAGCAGUGGGGAAUAUUGGACAAUGGGCGCAAGCCUGAUCCAGCCAUACCGCGUGGGUGAAGAAGGCCUUCGGGUUGUAAAGCCCUUUUGUUGGGAAAGAAAAGCAGCGGGUUAAUACCCCGCUGUUCUGACGGUACCCAAAGAAUAAGCACCGGCUAACUUCGUG
rnacentral:rRNA from 1 species